CACGGAGUUAGCCGGAGCUUCCUCUUGUGGUACCGUCAAACUACCGCCCUAUUCGAACGGUAGCGUUUCUUCCCACAUGACAGGAGUUUACAACCCAAAGGCCUUCAUCCUCCACGCGGCGUCGCUCGGUCAGGGUUUCCCCCAUUGCCGAAGCCUCUCGA
rnacentral:rRNA from 1 species